rnacentral:lncRNA from 1 species
CGACAAGAAGCUGUCGAAGCAAAACUGAGGUCGCUGUGAUGACAGUUGCAAUAGUCUUCUCCAGUUUCUUUCGUAGUGAGGAUUUCAGAGAUGAAAUAAUAAGACCACUUUGUAAUUCUAGGUGGAUCAAUUAUUACAAGCAGAAGACAGAUAGUGAACUUAUGGUCAAGAACUGCAUAUACCAAGGUCUGUUCUACAUAACAUCCAAAGUUUCUUACGACAAAUAGGGGGAAGUAAUCUUUGUUAGGUCUGUUUUGCAAUGCUUUGCCGGCCUGAAGGAGAAGCCAGAUGGAACAGUGGGAAUGCAAUAUUCAGAUCCAGGAGGGUUCCACAAGCAGAGGUACGCCAAUAAGAGAAACUGAAAAUCACUAUGGCGUAUCCGAUGAGACACUGUUUUGAAUUUCAAACCUUUUGCGAAAUACGCCAUGCUAAAUCAGAUGGUCACCACACUGAGUGAUUAUGCAUCCUCCAUCCAUCAGCAAUUUGCUGGGCAUUUCCAGCAGCAGCUCUCCUUAAGCAGCCCUUGGACAGCCAUCGCCAUGCCUGGGAAAUCAGGACAUUCUGCCAAUCUCAUAUAGCAUUUCAGAGUAAAAGAAGAUGACAUGAAUCUACAUAACCCGAAGAUGUAAACAGUUGAUCAGAAGAUUGACACAAUAUCACUUAAAUUGAAGAUGAUGGCAUAUAUGUUAUUUAAGUUACAUAAUCUUAGUUUUUAGCCCAAUGCUUGAAGUCAACCUGAUCAGUUAGUAAGAGUUGUGACCGCAUAAAACUAUUUGACAGCAGCAGACCAUGCAAACAGCUUAACAUGAUCUAUUAUUCAAGAACAUCAUUAUUAACCAUCAGCAGGUUGUAUAAGGUCCAAAACAAAAGGGAAAGAGAUCCAGAGAAAUUGUUUCAGUACAGAGAGCCAGGAGGAUUAACCUGUUACUGGGCAUACAAGAGAUCAAGACCCUGACCUUUGUUGUUGGCUCUUUGGCAUUGUGAUAGCUACGAUGGCUGGUGAUCUGCUUCCUCACUGUGCCGACAGCUUCCGGGGACGAACAGUUUGAAGAGUCCCUGAUAAUGCAAUAUGAAACAUGUAGAAAUUUUCUUCUAAAAAUACCUCAGGAAAAAAGGGCAUAACCGCAUCACAGCAACAAGCAGACCAAACUGUUUAGUGGCAGGUGUCUAGGUGAUCUCCAACUGCAAACAAAGCAGGGCAUCAUUGACGCCCAAUGCAUGAGUCAUGAGAAAACAAGCAAGAAGCAACCAUGAGAGGAGUAAAUUUUCCUUGAAUCGAAGUAUACAACAUCAUUUUGUAGGCACAAUUGGCAAUAGCAUGCAGAGGAGUAAACUAUGCUUCAUUCUUUUGCAUCUGUUUUUUUUCUCGGUCCAUGGAUCUACAAGCUCAAAUUGUUUUAGCAUAUUGAAGGAAGGAGAUGCUACAACAUACCUGGAGAACAGAAUAUGUAUGGCUUUAUUGAAUCUGUGGUGUCCUUCAUCAUGACAAGAGAAGAGUGCUGGUUAAAAAGAAGCAAUACGCAUCAUCCACAACUUCUGCAUAUGGAUAUACCACACCAAACGAAUGAAAAACACUCAAGAAGUUAGGUCACUAAAAUUAAUAGCUUCUUCAGUUCAAUACCAAACUCCAAACGCAUCCUAAAGGGGACAUCCAUAACAAACUUCACAGAUGCACAACUGUUCAACUAGAACUGCAAACUUCUCUUUAGGUAGGCAAGCAAAAUACACCUUUCUUUGAAUUUCAAGGGGAAAAAUAUCAAAAGAAGAGCUUGUUACCAGACAAAAUUACAAUCUAAAACCAGAAAACAAAACUGAGCACCACAAGAAAGCUUUGAAUAAAUAGAUCAAGAUGAAUGUUCCCUAGUAGUAGCUUGAGUUUGGAACAAAAAUACAUUUGAUCAGGGUAUAUCAAGGUAUUACGAAUGUCAAACUGUCAAUUACUUCAGUUUAACAUGCAAGUUUACUUUCUCAUGAUCAACAGCUCAACACCAUAAAAUAUAGAAAUAUACCAUGAUAAACCCCAAAACAAAGAGAGAGCAUAUCAUAGAUACAACAGGAAAAUAUAGUCAAACAAAUUGGCAUAUAAGCAAGAUCAACAAAUUAAUCUAGAGUUCUAGACUGAAGAGAAAUGAAAAUAAUUUCAGAAACUUAGCGAUACCUUUUCUAGUAAAAAUCACCAUAAACUUACAGAUUAGACACAACCAAACUAAAGGAAAUAGUAAAUUUGAAUUUGCAUUGGCUGCUCAUUGAAAAUUUUCAUGAAGGAAAUUGGCCAUUCCAGUGUUGUAAUUAUGGUCUACAAGAAAUGAGCACAUCUUUUGACCCAAAGUAUGCAAAAUGCUACCAAUUCACUAUCAUGUGAACAAAGAAACUUUUGGAAAGGAAGCAUCUAACUGCAUUUCCAUGUAUUGCAACAAUAGAGAACCUUCUCAAGCAGUCCAUUGGCAGUGCUAUAUCAUAUGAGAAAAAGGUGAAUCAGGGAAAAAGUUGAUUGUUGCUAAGCAGCGUAACACUGUGAAACUGAACCACUAGCUCAACUUCCUAAAGAUGCGCACACAUCAGUAAACCUAUACAGGCAGUAAAACUGAACUAUGUCACAAGCAUUUGGCUGAAGAGACAUAC